rnacentral:rRNA from 1 species
GAUGAACGCUGGCGGCGUGCCUAAUACAUGCAAGUCGGGCGAACAGACGAGGAGCUUGCUCCUCUGACGUUAGCGGCGGACGGGUGAGUAACACGUGGAUAACCUACCUAUAAGACUGGGAUAACUUCGGGAAACCGGAGCUAAUACCGGAUAAUAUAUUGAACCGCAUGGUUCAAUAGUGAAAGACGGUUUUGCUGUCACUUAUAGAUGGAUCCGCGCCGCAUUAGCUAGUUGGUAAGGUAACGGCUUACCAAGGCAACGAUGCGUAGCCGACCUGAGAGGGUGAUCGGCCACACUGGAACUGAGACGCGGUCCAGACUCCUACGGGAGGCAGCAGUAGGGAAUCUUCCGCAAUGGGCGAAAGCCUGACGGAGCAACGCCGCGUGAGUGAUGAAGGUCUUCGGAUCGUAAAACUCUGUUAUUAGGGAAGAACAAAUGUGUAAGUAACUAUGCACGUCUUGACGGUACCUAAUCAGAAAGCCACGGCUAACUACGUG